GCUGCCGCCGCCACUGCCCCAGUUCCUCCGGCGCCCGGCACCACGGACCGGCACCACAGUCCGCCGCCUCUAUCCCCGCCCCGAGCUCCGCCGCCUCCUCCACCACCGGCUCCUCGCUGUAGUGCCAGCACCGGCCCGAACACCAGCUCCCCCACCCCUCCCUUUCUUCCCCGAGUACGGCAGCGGAAGGAGGGCCGCGACGCCGCCGCCGAGCACGGUGAGACCACUUUCGUCGGAUCUGUCGAUUUGCCAGACUCAGCUCAACAUUGCGGCCGCUCUCCAAGGUGAGGAAGAGGAGUGCGGCGGCGAGCUCUUCGAGUCGGGGCCCUCGCUGCUCGUCUUCCUGCUCAUCAUCCAGGGCGGCGGCAUGGACCUCUCCUGCUACGGCGAGAGGCUGCUCAGCUCCGCGCGCUUCGCGUGCUCCCUCAACCUCCCCCCUCCCCGGCCCCAACCCCUUCCUGCUCGAGAAGGAAAUGGAUACUGCUGUCAUUCAGAAGGACUUGGGCCUUCCAGUUGGAGAAACAAUAUUCGGGAAAACAUGUGCUAGAUACUUAUCAUGGGGUUCGGAGCCAUUGGCAUGGAAAUUGCCAAGAGACUAAGACCAUUUGGAGUGAAAAUUCUUGCUACAAAAAGAAACUGGUCAUCAAAUACAGUGUCUUGUGAUCUUGAUGGGCUGGUUGACAAGAAAGGUGGUCCAGAAGAUAUGUACGAACUCGCUCGAGAAGCUGACAUAGUUAUAACUUGCAUGACGUUAAACAAUGAAUCAGUUGGGAUUGUGGAUCACAAGUUCCUGUCAGCUUUGAAAAAGUUAGAAUGGAGUUGUUUUAAAUACUAGACUACCUACAGGACUGAGCGCUACAGGUGCGGAGGAUAGUUCUUCCGAUUAAUCGUCGUGUUGAGGCAAGUGCACGGCGGACCUUUUCUCCGUAUACUUGACUGUGUUGUUGAUGCAGGUCUAUGAAAAUAAGUUGAGUAGUCUGACUAGAGGAUGACAGAGGACAUCGAGAUUUUGAUCCAGCAGCCUUGCCCCCUUUCGUCCGGUGUGCCGCCUGCAGGAGAUUACGUUCUAGAUCUUCAGAAUUUUUAGGUACUCACUCUCCCUUGAUGCUCUUUGAUGGAACCUACUUUGCAGGAAAGCGUGCCAGUAGUAAGAAGUUUUAACAAGUCUGUUACUGAAAGUGCUGUAGGCACUGAUGUGAUCCGAGGUGACCAACCUGAGCAGCAGUUUAGUGAAGGUGUUUGAUACAGUUCUCCUAAAAAGGGAGAAGUGUCUGAGGAAAUCUACUUGCUCUUUCAAGCUAUGAAUAUUUUAGAUCAGUAUAUUUUAAGGUUGUAAAGACUGAUGUGUCGGCUAAAGAUUAAAGAUCAUAAAUUCAUUGUUUACCCUACCAAGUUUAU